rnacentral:rRNA from 1 species
AAAGUCGUAAACAAGGUUCCGUAGGUGAACCUGCGGGAAGGAUCAUUACCGAGCGAGGGCGCUCCGACGCCCGACCUCCCAACCCCUCUGUCCGAACCCACACCUCUGUUGCCUCGGGGCGACCCGGCCGCCUCAGCGGCCGGGCCCCGGCGGACCACACAACCCAACCCUGCAUCUCUGCGUCGGAGUGAACAAAAGCGAAAAUCAAUCAAAACUUUCAACAACGGAUCUCUUGGUUCUGGCAUCGAUGAAGAACGCAGCGAAAUGCGAUAAGUAAUGUGAAUGCAGAAUUCAGUGAAUCAUCGAAUCUUUGAACGCACAUUGCGCCCCUGGCAUUCCGGGGGGCAUGCCCGUUCGAGCGUCAUUACACCACUCAAGCCUGGCUUGGUAUUGGGCGUCGGGAUGCACCCGCGCCUCUAUGUUUGUUCGGCUGGACGGUUGGAAUCUCAGCGUUGUGCAAUCAAUCCGCUGUGGGACCUGACUGGACGCGCCGUGAAAAUCUCAUCACAGGUUGACCUCGGAUCGGGUAGGGAUACCCGCCUGAACUUAA